GUGGACAUAGUUUAACAAAAACAUUAGCUUGUGAAUCUAAUAACAAGGGUUUUUCCCCCUUUGCCCACC
rnacentral:tRNA from 1 species